GUUCGACAACCGUUUGUUAAGAGGUAGAUAAAACGCUGACUGAGCUGUUGUAAGGUGUGCGGAGGCCUGGAGGAGGAGGAUGAGCAGGAGGAGGAGGAGGAGGAGGAGGAGAAAGGGGGGUUUCUCCAGUCGUAUACCCUGCAGAGCCACUCUCUCCUGGGUUCCUCCUUGCCCGCAUCCUCAGAGGAUCCAGCAGAGCAGAUACCAGCGGAUUCAUCUCUCCUGCAAAAUACAAAUGUUGAAACCUUUCCUACCCUCCACCACUUCACCUCUACAAUUCACCAAAUGAAGCGUCUGCUCAAUGAUCUGUUGACCGAGACAGAAACUCCCCAAACCUGUUGCAGAGCCGUGCCUGCUCCCAAAGGAGAUGGAAAUAGCCAGAGCAGCAUGUGGCUGCUGGCAACAGUUCAACUGCCUUUCACCAAGCUGUGUGUCGUACUGCAGGAC